UGGGGAAUUUUGCACAAUGGGGGAAACCCUGAUGCAGCGACGCCGCGUGAUUUAGAAGGCCUUCGGGUUGUAAAAAUCUUUUUUACGGGAUGAAAAUGACAGUACCGUAAGAAUAAGGUCCGGCUAAAUACGUGCCAGCAGCCGCGGUAAUACGUAUGGACCGAGCGUUGUCCGGAAUCAUUGGGCGUAAAGGGUACGUAGGCGGCCUAGUAAGUUAGAAGUGAAAUAAUAUAGCUCAACUAUAUAAAGCUUUUAAAACUGCUAGGCUUGAGAGAUGGAAGGGAAAGUGGAAUUCCUAGUGUAGCGGUGAAAUGCGCAGAGAUUAGGAAGAAUACCGGUGGCGAAGGCGACUUUCUGGUCAUCAUCUGACGCUGAGGUACGAAAGCGUGGGUAGCAAACAGG
rnacentral:rRNA from 1 species